AGAAGUAGGUAGUUUAACCUUUCGGGGAGGACGCUUACCACUUUGUGGUUCAUGACUGGGGUGAAGUCGUAACAAGGUAGCCCUAGGGGAACCUGGGGCUGGAUCACCUCCUUACGAAA
rnacentral:rRNA from 1 species